GAUGAACGCUGGCGGCGUGCUUAACACAUGCAAGUCGAACGAGAAGUGAAGACGGAACCCUUCGGGCGGAAGGCUUUAUUUCGAGUGGCGGACGGGUGAGUAACGCGUGGGUAACCUGCCUCAUACAGGGGGAUAACAGUUGGAAACGACUGUUAAUACCGCAUAAGACCACAGCACCGCAUGGUGCGGGGGUAAAAACUCCGGUGGUAUGAGAUGGACCCGCGUUCGAUUAGCCAGUUGGCGGGGUAACGGCCCACCAAAGCGACGAUCGAUAGCCGAUCUGAGAGGAUGACCGGCCACAUUGGGACUGAGACACGGCCCAAACUCCUACGGGAGGCAGCAGUGGGGAAUAUUGCACAAUGGGGGAAACCCUGAUGCAGCGACGCCGCGUGAGUGAAGAAGUAUUUCGGUAUGUAAAGCUCUAUCAGCAGGGAAGAAAAUGACGGUACCUGAGUAAGGAGCCCCGGCUAACUACGUG
rnacentral:rRNA from 1 species